rnacentral:lncRNA from 1 species
CUAUUGUCACACCUCCUUUUUACCUAUAGACGCAAGGGGUGUAAAGGAGUUUUUCAAUUAAAGGACAAUCGAAACAGGAUUUAAUUAUCAAAGAUUUAGAGUCGCCACUUGGGAGAUUAAUGGUGUCCUAAGUCAUCGAUUGAAUCCCGAGUCGAGGAAAUUAUUGACUCAAUUUAACAGUCCGCGAACCAGAAAUCCGAGUAAGGAAUUCUAUUAACCCGGGAGAAGGUGUUAAACAUUUUCGUAGUUCAAUGGUUCUGACACGGUCGCUCAACUAUCAUAUUUGGUUUAUUUAUUUGAUUUUAAUACAUGUUUUAAUAUAUAUGCUUUUUAACUUUAAACCACUUUUAUUAUUAUUAUUUUUAA